rnacentral:rRNA from 1 species
UCAUAUGCUUGUCUCAAAGAUUAARCCAUGCAUGUCUCAGUACAAGCCAAAUUAAGGUGAAACCGCGAAAGGCUCAUUAAAUCAGUUAUGGUUCCUUAGAUCGUACCCACAAUUACUUGGAUAACUGUGGUAAUUCUAGAGCUAAUACAUGCAAACAGAGCUCCGACCGGAGACGGAAGGAGUGCUUUUAUUAGAUCAAAACCAAUCGGUGGCGGGUUCGCUCGUCAUCGUACAACUUGGUGACUCUGAAUAACUUUACGCUGAUCGCACGGUCAUCGCACCGGCGACGCAUCUUUCAAAUGUCUGCCUUAUCAACUGUCGAUGGUAGGUUCUGCGCCUACCAUGGUUGUAACGGGUAACGGGGAAUCAGGGUUCGAUUCCGGAGAGGGAGCCUGAGAAACGGCUACCACAUCCAAGGAAGGCAGCAGGCGCGCAAAUUACCCACUCCCGGCACGGGGAGGUAGUGACGAAAAAUAACGAUACGGGACUCAUCCGAGGCCCCGUAAUCGGAAUGAGUACACUCUAAACCCUUUAACGAGGAUCAAUUGGAGGGCAAGUCUGGUGCCAGCAGCCGCGG